GCUCCUGUAGCCUAGUGGUUAGAGCGUACGUCUUGGAUGCGGAAGGUCGCGGGUUAGAAACCCGGCCGAGUCAUGCA